rfam:Vibrio tubiashii ATCC 19109 chromosome 1, complete sequence.
CCACGAACAGGGCAAACCAUUCCGAAAGGAUGGGACGCAAAGCCUCCGGCCUUAAACAAUUUAUUGUCUGGUAGCGGGGUUGCCGAU